rnacentral:rRNA from 1 species
CUACGGGCUGCUGCAGUAGGGAAUAUUGGACAAUGGGCGAAAGCCUGAUCCAGCAACACCGCGUGCACGAUGACGGCCUUCGGGUUGUAAAGUGCUUUUAGAGGAGAUGAGAAAGGACAGUAUCCUCUGAAUAAGCCUCGGCGAACUACGUGCCAGCAGCCGCGGUAAAGCGUAGGAGGCAAGCGUUAUCCGGAUUUAUUGGGCGUAAAGCGCGUGCAGGCGGUCUAGCAAGUUGGAUGUGAAAGCUCCCGGCUCAACUGGGAGAGGUCGUUCAAUACUGUUAGACUAGAGAAUAGGAGAGGGAGGUGGAAUUCCGGGUGUAGUGGUGAAAUGCGUAGAUAUCCGGAGGAACACCAGUGGCGAAAGCGGCCUCCUGGACUAUUUCUGACGCUAAGACGCGAAAGCUAGGGUAGCAAACGGGAUUAGAUACCCGCGUAGUC